rnacentral:rRNA from 1 species
UAAGUGGAGAGUUUGAUCCUGGCUCAGAACGAACGCUGGCGGCGUGCUUAACACAUGCAAGUCGAGCGAGAAAGGGGGGGCAACCCCCUGAGUAGAGCGGCGCACGGGUGAGUAACGCGUGGGUAACCUACCCCCAGGCGGGGGAUAACUACUCGAAAGGGUGGCUAAUACCGCAUGAGACCACGGGAUCUUCGGAUCCUGAGGCUAAAGAUCGCACCGGCUUGCCGGUGCUGUCACCAGGGGAUGGGCCCGCGUCCGAUUAGCUAGUUGGCGAGGUAAUGGCUCACCAAGGCUUCGAUCGGUAGCUGGUCUGAGAGGAUGAUCAGCCACACUGGAACUGAAACACGGUCCAGACUCCUACGGGAGGCAGCAGUGAGGAAUAUUGCGCAAUGGGGGAAACCCUGACGCAGCAACGCCGCGUG